UACAGAGGUCUCAAGCGUUGUUCGGAUUCAUUGGGCGUAAAGGGCGCGUAGGCGGCCCCUCCUAGUCGCGUGUGAAAGCCCCGGGCUCAACCCUGGGAACGGCGCGCGAAACGGGGGGCUGGAGUUCGGGAGAGGAGCGUGGAAUUCCCAGUGUAGAGGGUGAAAUUCGUAGAUAUUGGGAAGAACACCGGUGGCGAAGGCGGCGCUCGUGGGACCC
rnacentral:rRNA from 1 species